CGUGGGUUGUGUGAGUUGCGUGGGUUUGCGUGGCUCGGUUGGUCGUGUGGGAGGUUGCAGUUGGUUUACAGCUUUAACCUUCCAAUCAGUUCUACUGAGUUUCUACGACUGUGUUAGAAGCGGCAACUAGCAGAGCGCAGUGUCAUGAGCACAUCUAGAACUACUUUAAAACAAACAGAGGCAGCAUCUUCAUAAUGGGCAUCAUAUUGUAACACAGCAACAACAAACUCUCCAACAUGUUCCCCUAAAACACCACGACUCUGGUGGGAAGCAGAAAACAUUUGGAAGGAGAUGAAUCCAGUCAACUGGACAGCUGAGAGGAGGAUCGCUGGAUCUUCUACUCAGUCUACCAACUAUAAACAGUUUUUCUGUGAUUUCUAAACCUUGGCCUCAGUUUCCCCACGAUGCAGGGUGUACAGAUGGUGAACAGCGCUCUGUGACGACGCCCAUGGGUGGGUGAGGAUCUGGAAGACGUGAAAGUCGUGGCCCAGAGUGUCGGCAGUCACCAGCAGC